ensembl:lncRNA
ACCGGCAACACCGCCCGCGAGUCGACGCCUCACAAAGGGAGGCGGCUCACGGCCAGCAUAUCCCUGCGCCGUGCCGGCGUGGGGUGUGGGGAUCGAGCCCCACCCCUGGACUCACUGGCCGAGGGUUUUGGAGGUUAUACUUAUCCCGCUUGGCCUCUCCCUGGUUUCUUGUCGCCGCAGUCGCUUUAGCUGCGUGGAAGGCGUGUCUGGAAACCACCGGCGCCAUUGUCUUUUCUAAAUCCUCAGCCCUCGCCCGCGAGACAGGUCCCCCUUGCAGUCGGGAGAACUGAGGCAUGUCUUCAAACGUCGGAGACGCAGCAGUUCUCCUUUCCCGGUGCUUCCCUCGGAUUUCCCUUUUGGCGGCGGAGGAGUAUUGAAUACCGGAGGUGUGAGCUGUACUUGUUCUAUAAAUACUCCGCUGCGGACUGUGCGACAGGCAUUGAGGCAGCGAGCGCAGAGAUGGCUUUAGGGAUGGAGAUGCUGCUUGAGGAGCCCGCAGAUAAGUUUUUCUAUUAAAAAAGAUAGGCGUUAGUGUAUUUCUUUAGGGAUUAUAAGUAGUGAAAAUACGGAGAUACUGCUUUGCAUUAAGUUCUUAGAUAAAUUUUAGGGAAAAUAUGAAGACUUAAAGAGUAGUUGGAGAAAGGAAGAGGGAAGAAAAAAGAUAAUUUUAGAACCUGAGGGAGGUUAAGAGCUGAAAUUUUUUCAUGGAGUGAAAAAUUUAAAAGAAUUGAUGAGCUAGGACUGCAAUGUCUGGAUUUUUUUUUUAAAGCCUUAACUUGAAGGGCAACCUUUUACCUUAACAUUAAAACGUUGGGUUACGUAAAUCGAACCUAAACGUUUUAAAAGGUUGAGUUGUAGGUGAUUAAAAUACUACAAAGGCCAUCUUAAGAUUUAACUGAAGGUGGUUUCAGAAAUAAUGCCUUCAGAUUCACGGCGCAGUAAAAAUGGCGUCAUUUGAAGCCUGCUUGAUACUAAGGCUUUGUUUGGCUAAAGUUGACGGAAAUAUUAGGAAUGGUAGGAAAGAAAAUUGGAAGUUUGAAGUGGAAAAUUCGGAAGACAGAAGUACAGGAAGGUGAAGAAAAAACUAGAGAAGAUAAGAGAUACACGUUUUAGAAGAUAAAACCUGAGCCUAGUAAGUAGGCAGAAAAAGACAAAUCUAGGAGAAAAUUGAAAAUACGGUCGAGUGCUUAAGAUAGAAUGAAAAGAAAGCUAUUGGACGCAAACAUACAAGAUAGACGUCCAAAAAUUUAGAUAGUUCAAAAUCAAUAAUGUUGGAUAAAUUACAGGAACAAAAACUAAGGAAAUUUUUAUAGCCAAUAAGAAUUUAUUGUAAAAGCCCAUCAACUUAUUUCUGGUGGUGCAAAAGUUAGAUCUCAGAAGAUGAGGGUUUUUUUUUUUAAAACUACUGUAGACCAGGACCAACUUAGAAGAAAAUCCGGAAACUAGGAGAGUCAAUUUAAAAUCUCAGCAAAAAGUUACUGAAGGGGACUGAAGUAACUUAAAAGUUAAGAAUGUAUUUGGGAGAGUUAAAAAUCUGAAAGGCCUUAAAUGCGGUAGCGUAGUUUCCUUUGGAAAAUGUAAAGGACUUUAUAAGUGAAUUAAAUUGAAGAGCAAGAAUAACCAUCGAGUUAUUGGACUUUGAGCUAAGAUGAAUGUUUAAAUCCUGAGGACUAGGCGCUAAAUAACAGCUGACGCAGGUGCUACGCAGAAGUGGAUUCAGUGAAGCUAGGAAGACAGGAGCGGCAGACAGGAUUCGGAGCCAGUGUUGGUGAAAACUAGGACUGAGGAGCCAGCGGCAGUUCGUGAAGAUAGGAAAGAGAAGCCCGGGAGCCAGUGCGACUUGGUGAAGGAAGCUAGGAAGAAGGAGCGAGUCCUAACGAUUUGGAGGUGAAGCUAGGAGAGGAUUCCAGGAAGGAGGAAGCCAGUGCGGUGUGGUGAAGCUAGCGUGCGGCUUGGCUUGGCAACCACGCGGAGGCGGCGAGCAGGCGGAGUGGAGGAUAGAUAGAGGAUCCUAGAGCAGCAGACCAGUGUACGAGCCCCGCAGGGAGAGCCAGUGGUGUGGUAAAAAUCCGUGAAGUCGGCACUAUCGUGGGUUUUUUUUCCUCCUGUAACUCAGUAUGGUAAUAUCUCUUAUUAAAUUUUCCUAAUAGUAAUGGGGGAGUUGUGUACUUAAGCAUAAAGGGGAUUUUAUUACGGGGAUGUAGGCCGGUUUUCGGGUGUCGUAGGUUUCUCUUUUUCAGGCCUAUUUUCUCAUGCAUCUUGUCUGGAGCUUUUGAGGGCAGACUUCAAGGCCCGGAGGAAUGGUAGAUGGCAAGUGUUCUUGUUUUUAACCAAUAUGAGGGAUGUCCUGAAUUUGGUAGAACAACUGUGAGACAACUUCAGCAAGCUUUGUAAACAGGUUUUAUAUUCAGUUUGGGGGUAAUGAAGCAUUUCAGUUUCGUGAGUAGAGGGCCUACUUUUCUUUCCUCACCCUGUAUUUUAAAAGUCUUCUAAAUAUGUAGUUUCGGUGUAUAAUUCUGGGCGGGGGGAGUUUUUUUGGGGGGGGAGCAAAAUAUGUUUUGAGUUCUUUUCCCUUUAGGUCUGUCUAGAAUUCCAAAGGCAAAUGACUCGAGGUAACAGGCGAAAAGAAAAUCCAAUAUCAGGAUAAUCAGAACACUGCAGGUUUACAGUUAUAGAAACUCUAGCACAAGCAGCUUUCACUUUGAGGUCUGUGGCGCAGCUGUCCAUUGGAGUAAUGGCUGGUAGUUUAUUCUUUUUUUCCCCACCCCUUUAUUAAAUAUUUUUAUAAAGUACGUAACUGGUUAUUUUUACUUAAAUAUUUUGGGGUGGUGUGAACAGGGAAGAGGGUGGGGGAGAAACUUUUUUUUUCUAAGAUUUUCCACAGAUUCUAUAGUACUAUUGACAAUCUGAGUUAGAGAAGGAUUGUACUGCUACGCUGUUUGGCACCAACACCUUCAGGGAUUGGAGCAGCUUUUUUCCUUGGAAGAGUAUUCCCAGUGAAGCUGAAAUGUACAGCCCAGUGCAGCUUUGGUUCAUAUUCAGUCAUCUCAGGAGAACUUCAGAAGAGCUUGACUAGGCCAAAUGUUGAAGUUAAGUUUUCAAAUAACGACUUUUAAGAUACCUUUAUUAAAGGGGAGGGGCAAAUUUUGGCGAUUUGUAGUUGGCAGUGGCUUGUAAUGAUUGGGAUGGGGGGGGCGUGGGUUUAGGUAAUUGUUUAGUUUUUGAUUACAGAUAAACUCAUGCCAGAGAACUUAAAUACUUAAGGUGGAAAAACUAAAGAAAUCUCAACUUCCAAGUUGGCAAGUAACUCGAAAUCCUCUGGUUCUGUUUUGCCCCAAUUUUUGAAUUUAACAGAUGGGGAAGUUGAUGACGAUUCACUGGAUUUAAAAGAGUAGGGCUUGGGAAAGGAAAAUGACUGGGGGUUGGUCUGGCCCUCUGCGCUGACUUAGAUAAAAACUUGGGGAAUUUUUUUUUAAAUGGUAAAGUUCGGAUAUAGUGUGUGGUUCUCUCUUGGAAUAUUUUUCAGGUGAUUUAAUAAAACUUAAUACUACUAUAGGAGCUUCAGAGCAAAGGAGGUGGCUUAAUGAUCCUGAAGGGAUUUCUUCUGGUGGUAGCUUUUGUAUUAUCAAGUAAGAUUCUUUUUUCGGCUGUAUAUAAGCAAGAUUGUUUGGUUUAUUCUUUUCUUUUUUAGCGUAGGAAAAGUUUGUUGUUAAGGUAUGCUUCAAAAUUAUUGUUAAUUGUAUUUUGAAUUUACAUCUAAGCCUUGUAAAUCAUAACUGAUAAGAGGGGGUGGGCUUUUGUUGAUGAGGGAGGGGAAACCUUUUUUUUUUGUAGACUUUUUUCAGAUAACAUCUUCUGAGUCAUAACCAGCCUGGCAAUCUGAUGGCCUAGAUGGAGAGGGGAACAGCUCCUUGGUGAAUGAUAAGUAAAGGCAGAAAAGAUUGUAUUUCAUACCUACAUUGGGGAAAAAAGCAUAACCCUGAGAUUUUCUUCUGAUGAACACAUUGUCUGCACAUGCAAAAAAAAAAGCAAAUGAAAACUACCAAUUUAAAGUUAAUGGAAUCUACUACUAUAAAGUUAAUGGCUUAUCAAGCUGUAUCCACAAAAAUAAUGAAUUGAUGAAAAAUAAAAAUAACGAUACAAUGAAGAUCAAAAUGUCAAUCUCAAUACUGCUUUUACAAAAGCAGAAUUAAAAAAGCGAAAUGAAAAUAGCGCUACAUAUUAAUCCUGGAAAAAAAAGAAGCUGAAAUAAUUGAAAUGAGUGGGAUCAAGUGAAUUGAGAGGAGGAAGAGGCUGUGCUGUUUGCCAAUCUUUCGUUUGCCUCAGACAGGUUUUUCUUCAUUAUCAGAAGAGUUGCUUCAUUUCAUCUGGGAGCAGAAAACAGCAGGCAGCUGUUAACAGAUAAGUUUAACUUGCAUCUGCAGUAUUGCAUGUUAGGAAUAAGUGCUUACCUUUGUGAAGAGCUGUGGAAGUCCUAGGUCCCUUACCUAAGGGAUUCCAGGAUUGUGAGGCAUCGUCCCAUCCAGCCUUUUAAAAUUAGACAGGACAGCGUUCCUGUGGGCUUUGAUGAUGGGACAGCACAUUUCAUUCAAGAGGCAAGUAAUUCCUUAAAGCCUCUUGAGAUUAGCAAAGAUAAUGUUUAUAAAACUAAGAACAUUUGUUUAGCCUUGAAUCUGACAGCCCUAUUUAAGGGAUAGUAUUGUACUGUUAAGAAUUCAGAUUUUGUUAAUCUUGCUAAAAUUCAAAUGUUACGUGUAUUGUGCAGAAAACCAUUAAAUCAUUCAAAAUAAAAUACUUUUAUUUUUAGAGAAUGUAUGCUUUUAGGAAGCUGUCUCCUUAUUUAAAUAAAACAUUGUUUGUCUGUAGUUAGUGUUGGGGCAAUCUGGGGGGGGUUUCUUCUCAUCUUUCAGAAACUUUGUCUGCGAACACUCUUUAAUGGACAAGAUCAGGAAAUUGAGCAGAAGAACGAAUUUAAUUUAAGGCAGGAAAAAAUUUUGUCCUUCGUAAAAGUGAUGAGCAUUUAAUAAUUCCAGGCACAUGGCAAUAGAGGCCCUCUAAAUAAGGAAUAAAUACCUCUUAGACAGGUGGGAGAUUAUGAUCAGAAGAACAGGUAACUUAACUCCUACAAUGUUUGCAGAAAGUCAGGAGUCUGUCUAGUGGUUAAACUAGAGUAAUGGAAUGUACUGUCCACAUUUCCAGUUUGCAUGUUAACUUUGCUUAGUCAUCUCAUCUGGUGUUAGCCAGUGUUCACACUGUUGGCCUACUUUUUAGAUACCUGGUGGGGGGGUGGUUGGUUUUUUUUUUUUUUUUUAAAGAAUUUUCCUUUGCAGAGGCUUCAUUUCAUCCUUCGUGAAGCUUUUCAGGAUUUUGGCUUUCAUGUAAACGCUUGGCUCUGCCUUCUGUUCUCCUAGGGAGUGUUUCAGACCUUGCAGUGAGUUUAUCGGCAUAUUUAAGUAUAAACAUUUUUCCCCUUGAAUUUGGAGGGAAGGGAGGAGAGGGUGGGGCUUACUUGUUUUAGCUUUUUUUUUUACAGACUACACAGAAUGCAGUUGUCUUGACCUCAGGUCUGUGUGUUCUCUUGGCAAGUAAUACAGUACUGUUCUGAUCCGCUGCUAUUAGAAUGCAUUUUGAAACGACUGGAGUAUGAGUCAAAGUUGUGUUUCCCCCAAUGCUUGGAGUGGAGUAGUGAUUGUUAAAAGAAAAUCCAGCUGAGUGAUAAAAGGCUGAGUGUUGAGGAAAUUUCUGCAGCUUUUUAAGCAUUCAUGUUUGUGAUUGGAGCGGAGUCCCUUUUGCUGUGCUUUUUUUUAGGUAAAAUGCUUUUUGUUCACUUCUGGUAAGGGGGUGGGGAGGGCACUGAAGCCUUUAGUCUUUUCCAGAUGCAACUUUAAAAUCAGUGACAAGAAAUAAUUCCAAACGAGCAGCACUCUUGAAGAAAUUUAACUGGCAAGUGGAAAUGUUUACCAACAGUUCAGUGGUCUUAGUGCAUUUGUUUUUGUUUGGGUGUCUCUCUCUCCUCCCCUGGUCUUAAUUUCAUAUACAGGAACAUUCAAAACAACAGACAGACGUAUGCGAAAGGCCAGAGAAGCCAGACCCAGUAAGGAAAAAUAGCUUACUUACUUUUAAAAUAAUAAACCAAAAAACACUGCAUUUUAAAUGUGGGGAUUGGGAACCACUAGUUCUUGCAGAUGGUAUUCUUCAGACUAUAGAAGGAGCUUCCAGUUGAAUUCACCAGUGGACAAAAUGAGGACAACAGGUGAACAAGUUUUUUCUAUGUCUACAUACCAAGUCAGAUCUGUAUGAGUAAACAACAAUUCAGUGUUAAAUGACCUUUCAGCUUUACGCUGGAGUCAACAGCAUGAGCAAGUUGUUUGUUGGCCUGGGGGUGGAGGGGUGAGGUGGGCGCUAAGCCUUUUUUUUAAGAUUUUUCAGGUACCCCUCACUAAAGGCACCAAAGGCUUAAAGUAGGACAACCAUGGAGUCUUCCUGUGGCAAGAGAGACAACAAAGCGCUAUUAACUAAGGUCAAUCAAAAUGGUGUCGGCCUCACAGCCCCAUCUUCUGUUAGAAAUGAGGACUUGACUCAACCCCCUUGACAAUGUGCAUUGAGGCUCUCUGGGGGAGCGAGCAUUUAAAGGAAUGCUUGAGUACCUUGUAUAUAUAUCCCUGUGCUUGUCCUAAUAUUUAAUUUGGCUGUUUUCAUAGCAGCUGUUAAUGAAGCCUGAACUUCAAGUGAUGCUUGAAGGGGAGGGAAAGGGGGAAAGCGGGCAACCACUUUUCCCUAGCUUUUCCAGAAGCCUGUUAAAAAGCAAGGUCUCCCCACAAGUGACUUCUCUGCCACAUCGCCACCCUGUGCCUUUGGCCUAGCGCAGACCCUUCACCCCUCACCUCGAUGCUGCUGGUAGCUUGGAUCCUUGUGGGCAUGAUCCAUAAUCGCUUUUAAGGUAAUUGCCAAGGUCUUCCGGUGGGUUGCACUACUAGAAAAGACCAUUAAUUUACCUGUCAACAGGUAAUAUUUAGACCACAACUAAAAAGCUCUUAAAGUGUUGUAAAUGUGUGGCAUUAUCCAAUGACUUUAAAAAAACAUUUCAAACCAGUAAGUGGAGAAAUAGCAUCUAAGAACUGUCAUAUUGGGUGGGAGAGUACAUUUAUGAACUGAAAAGUGUUUUGGCAGUUGAGAGGGCUGUUGGGUGGGAUUGCAAAAAUUCUCUGCUAAGACUUUUUCAGGUGAACAUAACAGACUUGACCAAGCUAGCACCUUAGCUGAAGCAGAUUCUCCAGUGCUCUUCAAUAGGGUUAUUGAUAAAGGUUUUUCUUUUCCUGAGAAAACAAAAUCUUUUUUGUUUUCUCAGGUUUUGCUUUUUUGCCUUUUCUUAUCUUAAAAAAAAAAGCAAAAGAUGCUGGUGGUUGGCACUCCUGGUUUCCAGGACGGGGUUCAAAUCCCUGUGGCGUCUUUGCUUGACUUUUACUCUCCAGACUCUACUUCCUGUCUCUCAGGU